rnacentral:rRNA from 1 species
AUGGCUCUUGGAGGAUGCACCAACCUCACCACGCUUGACCUAAGUAGAAACCAUCUCCAAGGUGAGAUCCCGGGCGAGAUAGGCUCCAGCUUGAAGAAUCUUGUCACUUUGAACCUUUCCAGAAAUGAUUUGUCAGGACAUAUCCCUGGCUCGCUGCUACGAUCACCAUCCAUCCAAACCGUGUCUAUGUUUCUCAACAGAUUAUCUGGUAGGAUACCACCUGUUUUGGGCAACCUCUCCAACCUCAAAUAUCUUCAAGUCGAUCACAACGCCCUGUCCGGACCUAUCCCAUCGUCUUUGGGCAUGUUGCCCAAACUGUCUCGGCUCAGCCUCGGCUUCAACAACUUGAGUGGAGUGAUCCCCAAUUCCAUUUGGAACAUUUCCUCUCUAACACUGCUUUCCGUCCAGGAAAAUAUGCUUAGUGGAACAAUACCUCCAAACGCAUUCAGUAAUCUUCACCUUCUCCAAGACAUAUCGUUGGAUGUUAACCACUUCCAUGGCCCCAUCCCAGCUGCAAUAGGUAAUGCUUCUAAUAUCGCAUUACUUCAGAUGUCACAGAACUUUUUCAGUGCCAUCGUUCCUCCGGAGGUUGGAAGCUUUCCGAAUCUCUUCCGGAUAAACCUCCAACAAAACUUGCUUCACGCAAAAGAGCCCAAAGAUUGGGAAUUCAUAACCACGUUAACAAAUUGCACACAGUUACAAGUUUUGGGGUUGGGAACCAAUAAGUUUGAGGGCGUCCUCCCUGAUUCACUUUCCAACCUUUCCACCUCCUUGGUGCAACUCGGCCUUCAAGAGAACAAAAAUAUCAGGAAGCAUCCCUAA